rnacentral:rRNA from 1 species
AAGAACGCAGCGAAAUGCGAUAAGUAAUGUGAAUUGCAGAAUUCAGUGAAUCAUCGAAUCUUUGAACGCAUCUUGCGCUCCUUGGUAUUCCGAGGAGCAUGCCUGUUUGAGUGUCAUUUUAACUUCUCAACCAUAUCGAAUUGUUUUUCGAGGUGGCUUGGACAUGGGGGUUUUUGCAGGCUUCAAUAAUGAAGUCGGCUCCUCUGAAACGCAUUAGUGGUAUCUGAAGCAGAACUGCUACUAUUAGGUGUGAUAAUUAUCUAUGCCUCUUGGUAUACUGCAUGAACAGAUUGCGCUGCUUCCAACUUGUACACCCUUUGGUGUUUGACAAAUUUGACCUCAAAUCAGGUAGGACUACCCGCUGAACUUAAGCAUAUCAAUAAGCGGAGGAAAAGAAACU